rnacentral:rRNA from 1 species
GUGAGGAAUUUUCCGCAAUGGGCGAAAGUCUGACGGAGCAAUGCCGCGUGAAGGAUGAAGGCCUAUGGGUUGUAAACUUCUUUUCUCAGAAAAGAAUUAUGACGGUAUCUGAGGAAUAAGCAUCGGCUAACUCUGUGCCAGCAGCCGCGGUAAGACAGAGGAUGCAAGCGUUAUCCGGAAUGAUUGGGCGUAAAGCGUCUGUAGGUUGUUUAAAAAGUAUUCUGUCAAAGAUUAGGGCUUAACCCUAGAUAGGCAGAAUAAACUUUUAAGCUAGAGUUUGGUAGAGGCAGAGGGAAUUCCCGGUGGAGCGGUGAAAUGCGUAGAUAUCGGGAGGAACACCAAAGGCGAAGGCACUCUGCUGGGCCAAUACUAACACUGAGAGACGAAAGCGAGGGGAGCAAAUGGGAUUAGAAACCCUAGUAGUCC